rnacentral:rRNA from 1 species
UACAGAGGGUGCGAGCGUUGUCCGGAAUCACUGGGCGUAAAGGGCGCGUAGGCGGCCCGGUAAGGUUGCGGUGAAAGCCCGGGGCUCAACCCCGGGUCGGCCGUGGCAACUGCUGGGCUGGAGCACAGUAGAGGCGGGUGGAAUUCCGGGUGUAGCGGUGGAAUGCGUAGAGAUCCGGAAGAACACCGGUGGCGAAGGCGGCCCGCUGGGCUGUUGCUGACGCUGAGGCGCGACAGCGUGGGGAGCGAACAGG